UCGUAACAAGGUUUCCGUAGGUGAACCUGCGGAAGGAUCAUUACUGAUUUGCUUAAUUGCACCACAUGUGUUUUUUAUUGAACAAAUUUCUUUGGUGGCGGGAGCAAUCCUACCGCCAGAGGUUAUAACUAAACCAAACUUUUUAUUUACAGUCAAACUUGAUUUAUUAUUACAAUAGUCAAAACUUUCAACAACGGAUCUCUUGGUUCUCGCAUCGAUGAAGAACGCAGCGAAAUGCGAUACGUAAUAUGAAUUGCAGAUAUUCGUGAAUCAUCGAAUCUUUGAACGCACAUUGCGCCCUUUGGUAUUCCAAAGGGCAUGCCUGUUUGAGCGUCAUUUCUCCCUCAAACCCCCGGGUUUGGUGUUGAGCAAUACGCUAGGUUUGUUUGAAAGAAUUUAACGUGGAAACUUAUUUUAAGCGACUUAGGUUUAUCCAAAACGCUUAUUUUGCUAGUGGCCACCACAAUUUAUUUCAUAACUUUGACCUCAAAUCAGGUAGGACUACCCGCUGAACUUAAGCAUAUCAAUAAGCGGAGGAAAAGAAACCAACAGGGAUUGCCUUAGUAGCGGCGAGUGAAGCGGCAAAAGCUCAAAUUUGAAAUCUGGCUCUUUCAGAGUCCGAGUUGUAAUUUGAAGAAGGUAUCUUUGGGUCUGGCUCUUGUCUAUGUUUCUUGGAACAGAACGUCACAGAGGGUGAGAAUC
rnacentral:misc_RNA from 1 species